rnacentral:rRNA from 1 species
UUGCGGUUAAAAAGCUCGUAGUUGGAUUUCUGUUGAGGAUGACCGGUCCGCUCUUUGAGCGCGUAUCUGGUUCAGCCUUGGCAUCCUCUUGGGGAACGCUACUGUGCUUGAUUGCAUGGGGCGGUAUUCAAGACUUUUACUUUGAGGAAAUUAGAGUGUUCACUGCAAGCGUUAGCAAUUGAAUACAUUAGCAUGGAAUAAUAAUAUAGGACCUUGGUACUAUUUUGUUGGUUUCUAGAACUAAGGUAAUGAUUAAUAGGGACAAUUGGGGGCAUUCGUAUUAACGCGUCAGAGGUGGAAUUCUUAGAUUGCGUUACGACGAACUACUGCGAAAGCAUUUGCCAAGGAUGUUUUCAUUGCUCAAGAACGAAAGUAUGGGGAUCGAAGACGCUUAGAUACCGUCGUAGUCUAUACCAUAAACUAUGCCAACUAGAGAUUGGAGGUCGUUCUCUUUAUGACUCCUUCAGCACCUUAUGAGAAAUCAAAGUCUUUGGGUUCCGGGGGGAGUAUGGUCGCAAGGCUGAAACUUAAAGGAAUUGACGGAAGGGCACCACCAGGAGUGGAGCCUGCGGCUUAAUUUGACUCAACACGGGAAAACUUACCAGGUCCAGACAUAGUAAGGAUUGACAGAUUGAUAGCUCUUU